CAGGUUACCGCCCUGGCUGCCACCCUCUCAGUAAACAAUCAGUAAGUGAAUAAAUGAUCAGAGGGGUGAAGACUCUGGAUGGUGCCUCCAAGAAAGAGGGCUGUUGAGAUAGUAAAAAAGACAAAACAAACCAGUACUUAACCCUGCUUCAAGUAGUUAUGAGGCCUACAGAGUAACCAAUAGCUACUAUGGUGUUGGAAUCAGAGGGGCCUGAUGCACAUCCCGGCUCUGUCCUUACUCCAGGUUUUGCCUUAGGUGAACCUCAAAGUCUCUGUGGAGCAAUAUAACAAAAGUCUGAAAAUGUUGAUGGAAGUUGAUUGGAGUCCUUCUCCAUGCAGCGGCUCGGGGACCCAGGCUCCCCUCCAUUUUGUGAUGAUCCCCUCUCAUCACACCCUGCCUCUUCCAUGCCUCGGACCACAAGCGACAUAUCACUUCUAUUCAUGUCCUAUUCAUCAAAAUGUACUCAUCUGCUUCCAAUUUAGCUCCGAGGGGGGCUGGGGAAUGUUUCCAUAUUUUAUCUCAGGAAGAAGGAGCAGUGUGGAGAGCAAGCAGCAUUGUCCCUGUCCUAGGCAUCUUAUGAACGUGAGGAACUGUUCUGGCUGAUGGGACACAGCGAUGAGUAAAACGGAGUCACUGUCCUCCAG